rnacentral:lncRNA from 1 species
UUUUUUUUUUUGAGACGUAGUCUUGCUCUGUCGCCCAGGCUGGAGUGCUGUGGCACUUCUCGGUUCACUGCAAGCUCCGCCUCCCGGGUUCUCGGCAUUUUCCUGCCUCAGCCUCCCGAGUAGUUGGAACUACAGGUGCCCGCCACCACACCCAGCUAAUUUUUGUAUUUUUAGUAGAGCAGCUCACUCUCUUACAUGGCAGCUUCGGGUCACCACAACUUUUCCCUAGUCCAGGUGCCUGCAGCAGUAGCCGUGUGCAGUACAUCCAGUUCAGCAGGAGCCAUGAAACGCAGCCGCCAUCUGUGCAGGCAACUGGAGCUGCACUAGCCCGCGUGCGUGGCUGUGCUCGGUGGCCCGGAGCCCGUGAUUGCUCGCCUACACACGCGGGGCUCAUCCUCAGCAGGUGUGGAAUCCAGGCCAGUAGCAUGAGCGGAUCACAGCCUACUGGACCGGCGGAGGAGGUGGAACAAACCCAGUGGAUGUGAGUGAUAUUCAGACAGAAGGUGCAAGCGGCCACAUAGGUUUCUGGCUGGCGAAGCAACAUCCCAAGGAUCCUGUUACAUUACCAAAACAUUAUUUACUUAUCAACAAAAUGUAAUUGUAAAUCCAUGUCCACAGAAUAUCCCAUAUGAUAUCACAAAAAGUAACUUAAAUAGCCACAACCCCUGCCUUCUGGAAUUUUACAAUAUAGAGCAGAAAACAGACUGCUAAAAAGGCAUUAAAUAAAAACCAAGAAAAUGAAAUCAGGCAUGACUUGCAUGUCUUCAUUACAUUUUUGUCAAACUUUUACUGGCAAGUAGUAAUACUGAUUAAUUUCAGACAUAAAUUUAACAUAUAUUUUAUUUAUCAUUGUAGUACAAAGGUUAGCAAUCUACAAAAUGCUCGUACUCCACAAAGCAUGAGAGGAAACUACAGGCUAGAUAUUAACUGAAAUUAUGGAUUGGCUUUGUGUGAGUAACAUUUUUAUGUAUCAUUUUCUUAGAGACUAAAAUAUGACAGAAAUGUUAAAACAGGCAUUGAAAACUUGAUAACACCUUUCUUCAUUUUACAUAGUGCAACUUGAAAGUGUGGAAUAAAUAUAUUUGGGGGAGGAAUAAAUAUAUAUAUCAGUCCUGUAUCAGAGAUUUGUUUUGCAAAGUUAUUCUUCCAAUUUUUUCAUUUUUCUAAAUGUUGUUUUUAUUUCAAUUUAAUUAUGGAAAUUUUUUUUGUUUUGUUUAAGGUAAGAUACUCACUUCCAUAAUUCAUGAUCCUUUAUAGUUUAGAGGCAGAUAGCUUAAGUAUCAAGCAAAGUUUACUUUAGAAAGGCCAAACAAUUCUUAUUUUAGCAUAUACUCAAAAAAACAGAAUGAAAAUAUUCCUAUUUAUUGGUGUCAUGUACAACCAGAAAGUUUCUAAAUCUCAUUUCCAUAAGAAAUGCAUGCACACAAAUAGUUCUAUAUCACAUAAGACUGUUUAGAAUUCCUCUACCCUACACCAUAGAUCACAGUUUAAAAUUUUGUUUUCUCAUAUGAUGUGAUCAUAUAAUAACAGGAUAUCAGAAAUUUUAAAAAAAAUGCCUACCAAACAUAUGUGAGUUUUGUCUUUUAAAGGGAAAAACAAUUGAAGAACUGUCUGGAUUUCUUGUUUUGACAUAAUGUCAAAAAAUUUCUCUAUUUUUCAUCUGAGGAUUUUAAAUUGGUGAAAAUAAUUUUUCUGUAGAGAAAUAUACCCCUUUUCUUAUUAAUUCUCUGCUUGAGUACUGCAAUUUUAUUUUAGUUUGUUAUAGUGACAUUUGAUCUAAUAGUAAUGAGAUAUUCAGAACUAAAAUUGCUUUUAGUUAAAGUAGAUAUGCAAAAACAGUAUGGAAAAGAUUUUUUUAUCUGUAAUAGAAAAAGUUCCAUUGAUUUAAUUACAUAUUCCAAGUAAAAAUGUAUGUUUUUCAUGAAAAUGUGCUUUAAAGUUCUUGUAUAUAACACAAUAUUAGUCAACAAGAAAUGAUAGCUAGAUAUGAUACAAAUAAACAUUCAUGUGUAUGGCCUACUCUAUAAAUAGUCACUGGCCAACUAGUGUGGUAGGAUUUUUCCUCUUUUCUUUCUUUUUACAUAUUAUAUUAGAAACAUGUAAGACAUAGAAAAGAAAACAAAUGGCAUAAUGAACUUCAUGUACACAAGUGUUAUCAACCCACGGCCAAACUUCUCCAUGCGGCAUCCCAACCAUUUCCCACCGUCCCCAUUUUAGCACCAGAUUAUUUUAACACAAAGUCUCGAUAACAUAUCAUAUAUUAAAGGCAAUAUUAUAUUCCCUUUAAAACAUAUAUGCAAUGCUUUUAAAGCCUUAAUAUCAUUAAACAGCCAGUGUUCAUAUUUACCUGAACAUUAUGUAAAUUUUUCAAUUCCUAAUUUUUUAGU